UACAGAGGUCUCAAGCGUUGUUCGGAUUCAUUGGGCGUAAAGGGUGCGUAGGCGGCGCGGUAAGUCGGGUGUGAAAUCUCGGAGCUUAACUCCGAAACUGCAUUCGAUACUGCCGUGCUUGAGGACUGGAGAGGAGACUGGAAUUUACGGUGUAGCGGUGAAAUGCGUAGAGAUCGGGAGGAACACCGGUGGCGAAGGCGGGUCUCUGGGCAAUUCCUGACGCUGAGGCGCGAAAGCGUGGGGAGCAAACGGG
rnacentral:rRNA from 1 species